UAAUACGUAGGGGGCAAGCGUUGUCCGGAUUUAUUGGGCGUAAAGAGCGUGUAGGCGGCCUGGAAGGUCCGUUGUGAAAACUCGAGGCUCAACCUCGAGACGUCGAUGGAAACCCUCAGGCUAGAGUCCGGAAGAGGAGAGUGGAAUUCCUGGUGUAGCGGUGAAAUGCGCAGAUAUCAGGAAGAACACCUAUGGCGAAGGCAGCUCUCUGGGACGGUACUGACGCUGAGACGCGAAAGCGUGGGGAGCGAACAGGAUUAGAUACCCUGGUAGUCCACGCCGUAAACGAUGGGAACUAGGUGUGGGCGGUGUCGACUCCGUCCGUGCCGAAGCUAACGCAUUAAGUUCCCCGCCUGGGGAGUACGGCCGCAAGGCUA
rnacentral:rRNA from 1 species